rnacentral:rRNA from 1 species
AGCGAACGUUUGCGGCGGGCCUAACACAUGCAAGUCGAACGGGCUAGCAAUAGUCAGUGGCGCACGGGUGCGUAACACGUGGGUAAUCAACCCUUCAGCUCGGGAUAACGCCUUGAAAGGGGCGCUAAUACCGGAUACGACGCGAGGAGCUUCGGCUGCUUGCGGGAAAGAUUCGCAAGGAUCUCUGAAGGACGAGCCUGCGGCCCAUCAGCUAGUUGGUGAGGUAAGAGCUCACCAAGGCGAAGACGGGUAGCUGGUCUGAGAGGAUGAUCAGCCACACUGGAACUGAGACACGGUCCAGACUCCUACGGGAGGCAGCAGUAGGGAAUAUUGGAUAAU